CGAAAGCCUGACGGAGCAAUACCGCGUGGGGGAGGAAGGUCUUUGGAUUGUAAACCCCUUUUCUCAGGGAAGAAGAACUGACGGUACCUGAGGAAUCAGCCUCGGCUAACUCCGUGCCAGCAGCCGCGGUAAGACGGAGGAGGCAAGCGUUAUCCGGAAUUAUUGGGCGUAAAGCGUCCGCAGGUGGCUAGUCAAGUCUGCUGUCAAAGACUGGGGCUUAACUCCGGGCCGGCAGUGGAAACUGGGUAGCUAGAGUGCGGUAGGGGCAGAGGGAAUUCCCGGUGUAGCGGUGAAAUGCGUAGAGAUCGGGAAGAACACCAGUGGCGAAA
rnacentral:rRNA from 1 species